GUUUCCGUGGCGCAAUUGGUUAGCGCGUUCGACUGUUAUAGGGCUUGUUUCGGGGUCUGCAAUCGAGAGGUUGACAGUUCAAUCCUGUCCGGAAACG